rnacentral:lncRNA from 1 species
GGCCCCCAAGGCGGGGCCGGGGGCGAAGGCUUGGACACGCUGCAGGGGCGGGGCUGCAGGCCGGGGCGGGGCCGAGGCCGGGCACGCUGCAGGGGCCUGUUACACCCUGGAGAGAAAUCGAGGCGCCAAGAAGCUACGUGACUUAGCCACUUAACUUGGCCCAGACUUGGAGACCGACAUCUCCCUUCCCCAAGUGAACUCCCUUUCCCGAAUGAGAGAGUCCUGCAGACAUGCCCCACCCCCUGGCCCACUCCCCAGGAGCCCGCAACAGCCAGGCUGUCCCUAGGCUGCAGCACUCAGCCCAAGUCCCUCCUGGGUGGCAGGGACCCAGGGGCUUGAGCCAUCGGCGGCUGCCCCCCAGGGUGUGCGUUAGCAGGAGGCUGGAAAUAGGAGCAGGGCGCGGGUGCGGGCGUCCCGAGCAGUGACUUCAGCACUGGACCCAGCGCGGGCCCCACAGGCUGCUGUCGCCCGCACCUGUGGCCGUUCCAGGCCUCUUCACCACAUCUGUGCGGUGCACGCCAGCAGGAAGUGGGCAGCCGGGUUUAUCCGGCAAAGCUUGGGGUCGAAGCGGCUACCGCGGUCGCUGUGGGCACAACGAGGUCAGGAGCGGCUGGAGGCUGGCGGGGAACGGGAGGGGAGGGACGAAACAGCCCAGCACAAGCUUUUCGGUCAUGGUACACACCUGUCAUGGAUUUCCCCAGACAGGAGUGGUCCCUACUCUAAAUUGUGAUCGCAGCGCCAUCACCGUGCAGCCGUGGAGGGUCACGGAUUGUAACAAGGGACGGCUCUAGGGCAGGUGUCGGUGGUGGGGAGGCCGUGGGAACUCUGCGGGGCUGUGGUCCUGCCACGGAUGUAAAACCUCACUUUUUUUUUUAAGGACUCGCAAGGUGGCUGACAAUACCGCCGCUAGGUGGCGCUGCUUCUCGGCCUCGGCAGGUGGCAGGGGUUCCUCCCAGAAGUUCCAAGAGCCUGGCGAUCCACAAUAAUUCCAGGCGGCAGCGUGCGUCGCUGCCAGGGUCGGUGCUGUGUGGGCGUUACCUGUGGAGGCCCCCGAGCCGGCAUGUUGGAGCGGGGAAGCGAGUCUUGGUUUUAUUACUGCGAGACGGGGGCUCAGAGGGAAAAGGAGAAGAGGCGGAAGUGGCUGUCGGAAAUCCGAGUGAGCUACAAAGCGAAGAUCCUGAGGGACUUGAGUGUGAGCCGGGUGCUGCCGCGCCUGGCGUGCGACGGCGUGUUUUCGCUCCGCGAGUACCGGAAAUCCCGUCCGAGGACCGCGGCCCCGGCAGGGUGGACUCCGUUCUCCUGAUGCCUUUUCCAGAGGUCCGCGUGCUUUCUGCGCCCUCUGCUCUCAGCUGGAGGAAUUCUGCCCUUACCUGCUCACCUGCUUCUUCCUUUAUUACCAAGGUAAGAGCAUGGAUGACUCUGCACGGUAGGAAGCUUAGUGAUGGACAAAUCUCAAUAUCGGGCACCCACACCAUGUGAGAGUGAGUUUCAACGGGGCACCACCCUUUGUUUUAAUACAGUGUUUCUAAAAUCUCAAGAUAUGGAAAAAAAUGUGUGUGAAGUCAAAUAAAACCUUGCAAACCCCUGAUAGAACCUGCA